AGCUUUGCGCAGCAGCAGUAUCAUAGCCAGUGAGGUUUAUCUGAGGCGGAUUAUUGCUCAUUGAAAACUUUUCCCAGUUUACUGCAACCUGGGAUUGGGUUUUGCAGCUGGGACCGUUAAAAUCAAUAUUUUGU
rfam:Heterocephalus glaber contig53429, whole genome shotgun sequence.